rnacentral:tRNA from 1 species
ACUUGGGUGGCUCAGUCGGUUGAGCACCUGACUCUUGAUAUCAGCUCAGGUCAUGAUCUCAUGGAUUGUGGGAUCCAGCCCCACCUCAGGCU